rnacentral:misc_RNA from 1 species
AAAAGUCGUAACAAGGUUUCCGUAGGUGAACCUGCGGAAGGAUCAUUAACACUUUUUAUUAUUUUGUUUUUUUUUCUAAAACAAAAUUUAAAACCCCACAAUUUUGGAUGAAUUUAAUUAAUUUAUUUUUUAUUUUAUUUUUUUUAUUAUAACCCUAUUAUUUGACUAACAUUUUUAUUUAAUUAUUAAAAAUUAAAAAAACAACUCUUAACAACGGAUAUCUUGGCUCUC